rnacentral:rRNA from 5 species
AUCCGGGUUGCGGACAGUGUCUGGUGGGUAGUUUGACUGGGGCGGUCUCCUCCUAAAGAGUAACGGAGGAGCACGAAGGUUGGCUAAUCCUGGUCGGACAUCAGGAGGUUAGUGCAAUGGCAUAAGCCAGCUUGACUGCGAGCGUGACGGCGCGAGCAGGUGCGAAAGCAGGUCAUAGUGAUCCGGUGGUUCUGAAUGGAAGGGCCAUCGCUCAACGGAUAAAAGGUACUCCGGGGAUAACAGGCUGAUACCGCCCAAGAGUUCAUAUCGACGGCGGUGUUUGGCACCUCGAUGUCGGCUCAUCACAUCCUGGGGCUGAAGUAGGUCCCAAGGGUAUGGCUGUUCGCCAUUUAAAGUGGUACGCGAGCUGGGUUUAGAACGUCGUGAGACAGUUCGGUCCCUAUCUGCCGUGGGCGCUGGAGAACUGAGGGGGGCUGCUCCUAGUACGAGAGGACCGGAGUGGACGCAUCACUGGUGUUCGGGUUGUCAUGCCAAUGGCACUGCCCGGUAGCUAAAUGCGGAAGAGAUAAGUGCUGAAAGCAUCUAAGCACGAAACUUGCCCCGAGAUGAGUUCUCCCUGACUCCUUGAGAGUCCUGAAGGAACGUUGAAGACGACGACGUUGAUAGGCCGGGUGUGUAAGCGCAGCGAUGCGUUGAGCUAACCGGUACUAAUGAACCGUGAGGCUUAACCUUACAACGCCGAAG